GUCGACGGCAGCACAGUAAGAGCUUGCUCUUAUGGGUGGCGAGUGGCGGACGGGUGAGGAAUACAUCGGAAUCUACCUUUUCGUGGGGGAUAACGUAGGGAAACUUACGCUAAUACCGCAUACGACCUUCGGGUGAAAGCAGGGGACCUUCGGGCCUUGCGCGGAUAGAUGAGCCGAUGUCGGAUUAGCUAGUUGGCGGGGUAAAGGCCCACCAAGGCGACGAUCCGUAGCUGGUCUGAGAGGAUGAUCAGCCACACUGGAACUGAGACACGGUCCAGACUCCUACGGGAGGCAGCAGUGGGGAAUAUUGGACAAUGGGCGCAAGCCUGAUCCAGCCAUACCGCGUGGGUGAAGAAGGCCUUCGGGUUGUAAAGCCCUUUUGUUGGGAAAGAAAAGCAGUCGAUUAAUACUCGGUUGUUCUGACGGUACCCAAAGAAUAAGCACCGGCUAACUUCGUGCCAGCAGCCGCGGUAAUACGAAGGGUGCAAGCGUUACUCGGAAUUACUGGGCGUAAAGCGUGCGUAGGUGGUUGUUUAAGUCUGUUGUGAAAGCCCUGGGCUCAACCUGGGAAUUGCAGUGGAUACUGGGCGACUAGAGUGUGGUAGAGGGUAGUGGAAUUCCCGGUGUAGCAGUGAAAUGCGUAGAGAUCGGGAGGAACAUCCAUGGCGAAGGCAGCUACCUGGACCAACACUGACACUGAGGCACGAAAGCGUGGGGAGC
rnacentral:rRNA from 1 species